GUGCCCUACGGGACGCAGCAGUAGGGAAUAUUGCACAAUGGGGGGAACCCUGAUGCAGCGACGCCGCGUGGGUGAAGGAGCGUUUCGGCGCGUAAAGCCCUAUCGGCAGGGAAGAAGAUGACGGUACCUGACCAAGAAGCCCCGGCUAACUACGUGCCAGCAGCCGCGGUAAUACGUAGGGGGCAAGCGUUAUCCGGAUUUACUGGGGGUAAAGGGGGCGCAGACGGCAAUGCAAGCCAGGGGUGAAAGCCCGGGGCCCAACCCCGGGACUGCUCUUGGAACUGCAUGGCUGGAGUACAGGAGGG
rnacentral:rRNA from 1 species